AGCGAAAUGAUGAAAUAUAUUAAUCUGAAUUCCAGUGUGGAAUCUGCGUUACAGUAGCCUUCAAAGUUCUCUGAUUGCU